UCCCUGAUGGCUAAUUUGGUAAAGAAUCUACCUGCAAUGUAGGAGACCCAGGUUUGAUCUCUGGGUGGGGAA
rnacentral:tRNA from 1 species